GGUUGCUAACUCAAUGGUAGAGUACUCGGCUUUUAA
rnacentral:tRNA from 1 species